ACAGAGUGAGGGCGAAAGAGAUGGCGAAUGGUGGGGGGGGAGAGAGAUAGGGUGGCUGCUCAUUUCAUACGAAGGCUGCCAUAAAGAAGAAACGAACGGUAAAACACGUUAAAAGUCCCGGCCAUUAUUUAAUGUUGAUUAUCAAUUUGCUCCGGCAUUUUUAAUACACACACACACACGCACACACUCAACUGUUGUCUGUCUAUCUUCCACACACGCACACUCGCACACACACACAGUGAUAAAUAUAUACUGGGAAACCAAUAAAGCGCUCGAAGCUGAGUUCAUAGCUCGCCUGUUGUGCCGUUCCGUUCCCUUCCGAGGAUGGAGAGACUAGCUGAUUUAUAGACAUAUGCCUCAAAGCGCCGACCUGACCUGACCUGACCCGACCCAACUCGACGCAGCUCGGCGCAACGCGACGCGACCCAACUGGACCUACACCUGCAGCUGGCGCUGUGGACUGGACCCGAAUCUGGGACCCGGCAGCUGAAACUUUUGCCCCAACAUAUGCCUCUCGCCAGGCGUUGUUUAAUAAGUUUCAGCUAAGUGGACAGCGGACCGAUGGUGGGCGGGGAUAUGGAUAUGGGAACAAACUACUCGUAAAGCCAAGCGAUUCGCGCUUGCCUUUUGCUCCGUUUGAGAUUUAUUGACAUAUAAAUUUAAUACCUACUACCCAAGCACCCGACUGCCGAAAGUCCAGGCAUUGAGCGCCGGAUGAGCAAAGUUUAGGAGCAGUUGAUUGAAUGCGCUUUACUGCUUGGAUUUCCGUUAGUAAAUUGAAAAAAAAAA